rnacentral:lncRNA from 1 species
CACCUUGGAACCUAAGGGCAUUGGUGGAGGUGGCCUAGGAGGACCGAUACCGGUACUUGGAGGAGGUGGUGGGCGGGGACCAGGUUUGGCACCUGGAGGCAUAGGUGGUGGAGGAGGUCGGGGGGCCAUAGUGGCAGAAGCAGGUUUCAUAGAGGGUGGUGGUGCAGGAGGACUGGCUCUAAUUGGGGCAGCAGGUGGUGGUGGUGGAGGAGAACUAGCUCUAAUCGGGGCAGGAGGUUCUGGAGGAAGAGUAGACUUCAAAGGAGGUAAUCCAGGUUGGGAAGCACCGACCCUUCCUGGAGGCAAUGGUAGCGGUGGAAUAGUAUCAAAAGAUUCAAUUGAGGCUUUGUUGGCAGCAC